GAGAGAAAGGGAAUAGUUCAGCGCUGAAUCCCUUUGGCCUAUGGUCGAGGGACCUGUAGCGUGCAUAAAAAACUAUCUGUCGGGUUUUUAGCUUCGGAAUAUCCCUCCAAUGGGAACCCAAAGCAGGUGCGAGGCCUGUAACGAGGCGAUACCCGUCAGUUUGCGCCUCCAUAGAGUCGGGUUACUUGGGAGUGUAGCCCAAAGCGGAAGGUAAACCCCUUCUAAAGCUAAAUAUUACCACGAGACCGAUAGCGAACAAGUACCGCGAGGGAAAGUUGAAAAGAACUUUGAAGAGAGAGUUCAAAAGGGCGUGAAACCGCUUAGAAGAAAACGGAUGGAGCCGUCGGGGGCCUUCGGGAAUCAGUCGUACGAUGCGCGAAAGUGCUCGGGUUCUAGAGCGCAAGUCUAGACUCGGGCGCGAGUAGUUCGCGUUUGUGCGGCGCAUUUCUCGGAGGUAUGCACUGCGACCGAUACGAUAGGCCGACGUGACGUCGUCGAUUGAGGGCGAAACCUCUCGCGGGGUAUCGUAACCAGUCUCGACGUUUUUGAGGUCGGACCGAGGUAUCGAGCGCCAAAGUCUAAUAUAUACGUCGGCGUAAACGCUCGCUCGAACGGUGGACAGUCGGCCAAUACGGUUGGUAUCUGCUCGCAGGUAUUAGCCUAUUCGGUUCGGCGUUUGGAAACCGUCGGCGACAUACGACGUAUAGGCGUCGGCAGUGUCAGUGUCGGCCACCCAUCCGACCCGUCUUGAAACACGGACCAAGGAGUCUAACAUAUGCGCGAGUCAAUGGGUGGAAAACCCAAAGGCGUAAUAAAAGUAAAAGCCGUUUCGGACGGCCGAGGUACGAUCCUUGGAUUCGAGCGAUCCAAGGCGCAGUACCGUCCCGUCCCGACCGCAUAUCGGUAGGGCGGAGAUAGAGCGCAUACGUUGGGACCCGAAAGAUGGUGAACUAUGCCUGAGCAGAGCGAAUUCAAAGGGAACUCUGGUGGAGGUUCGUAGCGGUUCUGACGUGCAAAUCGAUCGUCAGAUUGGGACGAGG
rnacentral:rRNA from 1 species